CUCUGGCCCUUGUUUGAGAAGCGUACACAAAGGCACACAUGGGGUAUCAUCAAAGAACACUCUUUGCUGUCGUCUCCGUUCUCUGCAUGCUGAUCUCACGACCCGCCACUGUGCAGUCGGUGUCGCACGGUGCUCCUCGUUCACUUAUAGUUAAUGGUGUAGAGGUCAUUCAUCCAGAUCCUUCCCCUUCCCAAUGCACCAUAGUUAAUGGUAAAAAGGUAUGUGAUCCUCCGAUUCCUGGGCACGAAAGCCGCGGAAAUCCCGGCAAACCGACGCUCCCGUGAGCCGUAAGCCAAGACAGUCUUAAGUGCAGGAAUGAGUGGAUUAUGUCUCCAACUAUAUGUUUCCUUUUGUAAUCAAUCCUCCGUUAGCAUCUGCUCGUUCGGCUUGUAUACCUUCAAAGCCAAAAUUUUCAGAAUUCUCUCCAAAUGAGUGCAGUUCCAGGGAGCAAUCGAAAUAACAGGAAUUACAUCGUUUAUGAGCUACAGCAGUGUUACAGUAACACGAACGAUUGUUAUUUUGUUAUUUGGAAGAGAAAAUUUUAUUUACAUAAAUCCAUGAAGAAGGGAGUAUUGGUGCACGGUCUGAUGCAGUGAAUUAGUUAACGGUAGGAGUAUUGAUACUCACUCUCUAGUUCUCCUUGCAGAUUGAUAUUUCAGAUCUGACGAUGGAGAUGUUUGUAGAUCAGAUAAGGUUUAUUCUUCUGAACAACAAUAAAGACGGCUAAACUAUGAAAAAUUCCACAAGAAAAUUGGUGCAGUCAAUCACGCCCCUGGAAAAGUCUUUGAAAUGUUGCACACGAUUCUUCUGCUCAGGAUCGAGCCAGCCCCAUAUAUAUCCACAUACACCAUCGCGUUUCGAAGAGUGGGCAAGCGUGGGAGCCUUGCAGCAGGUCGCCUCUCCAAACCUAUACAAGCAAAAGCGAACGAGUGAGGAGCAUGACGUCUCAUGAUAGUCGAAGAAGAAGAAGAGGACUUGCCGUUCUCGCUUUCGUUGCCUCCAUAUUCUGGUUGCUGGCAUCGCAGUCCAUUUGCGACGGCCGAGUGUUGAACUAUUCGAUUGAUCCGAGCUUGUGGUUGGUGCUUCUUCUCCAAGGCCUUAUUACACCGCCUACAUCGCCUGCACCGUCUACGCCAUCCGGUUGCAGUACGCCUGAAGGUAUUAAGAGAUGUAAUCCUUCCUCGGGGGUCAGCAAUCCUAAACCUCAUCCACCAGCCACGCUUGCAGUAUCAACUCCGCCUUAACCAAGCAUGACAUGACGGCUGGCCUUUCAAGUCCUUCCGCCACCACCACCACUACUACUCUCUCUCUCUCUCUCUCUCUCUCUCUUUCUCUCUUCCCAUGCUCUAUCAUGUGUCUAUGACAUGUACGACAUAAUUAAAAUAAAUUGGAUUAUUGUGUUA